rnacentral:rRNA from 1 species
UACGGAGGGUGCGAGCGUUGUCCGGAAUCAUUGGGCGUAAAGGGCGCGUAGGUGGCCCGCUCAGCGUGCGGUGAAAGCUCGGGGCUCAACCCCGAGUCGGCCGUGCGAACUGGUGGGCUGGAGCACUGUAGAGGCAGGCGGAAUUCCGGGUGUAGCGGUGGAAUGCGUAGAGAUCCGGAAGAACACCGGUGGCGAAGGCGGCCUGCUGGGCAGUUACUGACACUCAGCUGCGAAAGCGUGGGGAGCAAACAGG